GAGGGUAUAGCUUAGGCGGUAAGGCAACGGCCUUCAAAACCGUAGAUAUAGGUUCAAUUCCUAUUGUCCUCGCCU
rnacentral:tRNA from 1 species